UGCGUUCUCUGACACCAUGCGCACCCUCUGUAUAUGAGUACAGUUAUCUCAGUUCUGCCUUUAACUUAAAAGAAGUUUGUGUACAAAUUGUCUCUGAACUCAGUGUGUUUGACUGCCGGUACAUCACUUUUCUUCACUUCACUGCUAUGCUCCAACAUCUAAAAGUUUUAGUGCCACUGCUGUCUCAUUGAUUGAUUGAUGAGAGGAAAUACAUAUUGUACGAUAAAGAGAUUGCUGGCAAUUAGCACCUUUUAAUGUCAAUGUGAUUUUAUCACCUUGGAGAAAAAAUCCAGGGCUCAGAGCUCAGGACUGUGUGGGAGCCUAACUGCUCGGAAAAUGACACAGUGUGCCACAAAAAACACUGAAUAUCAAAUGUGGCUUGUUUUCUGACUGGAACAGAUGUUGUGCUUGGAUUGUAGUGGCAUUGUUCUGGUGUGACUGCAACAGUAUGACUCAAAGGGCAGAGGUUGUGUCCAGCCCACCCUGUCUGUCUGUGUAAGGACCCGGCUCCAGACUAUGGCUUCUGUCAUAUGUGGGUGUGGAUAUGCCUGCCUGAGUAAACACAUCCUGGCCAGAUCACAGUGUGCUGUAUGGUCAGGGGGUGAUGGUCAGUUGACUCUUUGAUCAUCGAGUUAUCUGGGAUGCAGAUGUUCGCUUUGUA